rnacentral:sRNA from 1 species
GUUGGGCAUGGUGAAGCAUGCCUGUAAUCCCAGCGGCUAGGAUGCUGAGGCAGGAGGAUGGUGAGUUCAAAGCCAGCUUCAG